CCUACGGGAGGCAGCAGUGAGGAAUAUUGGUCAAUGGACGAGAGUCUGAACCAGCCAAGCAGCGUGAAGGAUGACUGCCCUAUGGGUUGUAAACUUCUUUUAUCUGGGAAUAAAAUGUUCCACGUGUGGGAUUUUGUAUGUACCUUAUGAAUAAGGAUCGGCUAACUCCGUGCCAGCAGCCGCGGUAAUACGGAGGAUCCGAGCGUUAUCCGGAUUUAUUGGGUUUAAAGGGAGCGUAGGUGGAGUGUUAAGUCAGUGGUGAAAGUUUGCGGCUCAACCGUAAAAGUGCAGUUGAAACUGGCAGUCUUGAGUACAGUAGAGGUAGGCGGAAUGCGUGGUGUAGCGGUGAAAUGCUUAGAGAUCACGAAGAACUCCGAUUGCGAAGGCAGUUCACUGGACUGCAACUGACACUGAGGCUCGAAAGUGUGGGUAUCAAACAGGAUUAGAUACCCGUGUAGUC
rnacentral:rRNA from 1 species